rnacentral:miRNA from 1 species
UAGUAGGUUGGCCCAAAAGUAAUCGCGGUUUUUGCCAUCACUUUUAAAUGGUAAAAACUGAGAUUACUUUUGCACCAACCCGAUA